GGAUGUGAGGGUGAUCUGGCUGCAACAUCUGCCACCCCAUGGAUCACCAGGGUUGAUUUGGCUGAUCUGGCUGGCUAGGCAGGUGUUCCCUUCCUUCCUCACCGCUCCACGUGCAUCCCUCCUGAAGCUGAACGCUCGGUUGAAGAUGAUGGCCCUCCCUGAACAGAGAUGGACCGGUCUUCAGUAGAGGGUAUAGCUGUGCUCCCCUGCUAGAACCUCCAAACAAGCUCUCAAAAAGAACUUUGGCCCAUACUCCAGAGAGGUAAAGGGCUGAGAAGUAAGACCAUAGGGCUCUGUUCCCUCAUUC
ensembl:misc_RNA 7SK 7SK RNA